ensembl:lncRNA
CGCACGCGGGUACGCGGGCACGCGGGCACGGGGCUCGCUCCUGAAGGGGCAGUUGGAGGAGGGGAGCUGGCGCCGGGGUCGUGGUGGCCCGAGCGGCCUCGGCCUCCAGGUCUACGCCUGCGGGACCCGCCGCGGCUCCGUCACCGGAGAGCGAGGGCCCGCUGCCGUCGGUGAGGACGGGCCCCAGCGGGCGGGGAGGGUCCCGUCUCGCGGAUGGACGCCCCGGCCCGGCACCCCAGAAUCUCGUGUGCUGGUGCUGGGGAGGGGCAGCCUCGGGCUCUGCGUCCCGGGUUCCUUCCUGCCGCCUCUUUGUCGGCUACCCUGUGAUUCACCUCCUUUCUCCUCAUCCUGGUUCCUCCAGCUCACCAGGUCCCUGGACCGAGCCUGACACCCCCAAGUCCGGGAACCCCUCAUCCGCCUGCCUCCCCUCACCCGGGCGGUAGCCCUCUCGCCCGGUGCGCGCCCGUCCUGCACCGUCCCCAGUCUCCUGCCAUCUUUGCGUCCCGAGGUUCCAGUGACCUUGCACUUUUUGCCUGUUGUUAUCCGCUCCUGCCAGUCCUGACGCUGUGGAUCGAUUGCCGGUUAUGGCUUUCAAACUUUUUGACUGAGAGAUGCUUUGCGUGAAUACCGUGUCUGCAGGUACUGACUGAGCCACGUUUAGAGGGAGACGCUUACUCAGCUCGCAUGACGCAGAUCUAUUGGAGCUCAAUUUUAAUUCAUCCCAUUCCAUUCCAAAAGACUUGCUAACACGUUCAUUCCGGACCUAGUGGAUGUUUUACUGCUUGCAUUUUUUUUGGAGGAUGUUGAACUCCCACAAUCAGAUAAUAUAUACCGAUGUGGUAGAGAUCCGUGUGAGAGGGAGUGAGGUUGGGGUAGGCUGCGGAGCGUUUGUAAUGCCCAGCUGCGCAGAUAGAGGUGAUUUUUACUGGGAGAGGCGUGACAAGCCUUCAGCCUUAAGAAGAGUAACCUGUGGGGCGCCCUUGGGGAGAAUUGGAAUGCAACAUGCUAAAGAUUUAGAGCAUUUCGGGGGUUUAGCGUGGGCUGAGAAGGAGGCUGUGAGGAAGUCUCCAGUGACAGGAAAGCAGAUGGAAGAUAGGUGUGAUCAGGUACACAGGGAGUGAGAUUUAAGGACACAGUAGGUGAGAUAAAGGAGUAAAAGUAACCAAGGUUCUGAUGAAGGAUGUUUGGAGUAUGUAUUUGUCAACUUACUGUAACUACAGCAAAAUAACUGAGGUAACAAACUUAUGAAGAUAAAAAGGUUAUUUUGGCUCAUGGUUUUAAGAGAUUGCAGUCCAAGACCAGGCAGACCCAUUGCUCUGGGCUUCUGGUAAGGGUGCUGGAUACCAAUGGUGAGGUGUCUGAGAUGGAGCAAACUGCCCACCUCAUGGCCAGGAAGCACAAGAGAGAGGGGGAGGAGCAGGGGCCCCACUGUUCUCUUCAAGGACAUGCCCCAGUGACCAACAGGCCUUCCAAUAUGCCUACAUCCUAAAGGUUUCACACCUCCCAAUAGGCCCUUUAAUGUGUGGGUCUUUGAGGGAUAUAUUCAAUUCAAAAUAUAGCAGGAGAUAUAGGCUUUAGGGUUCCCAUUAGCUGGAAUCUCCCUUUUGGUAUUCUCUAAGUUGCUUUGAGAUAGUGGCUCUCAGGCAGUUUUGCCCCCCAGGGACCUUCAGCAAUAUUGGUUGUCACAACCUGGGGAGGGGAUGAUACUGGCAUCUAUCUAGCAGGAAGAGGCCAAGAAAGCAGCUAAACAUCCUACCAUGAGCAGGACAGCCCCUCACAACAAAGUAGUUCCUCAUGCAGAAUGUCACAGGUGCUGAGGUUCUGAAACCUGCUCUAGAGAGGUAAAUUAUAGUCUUUGGGUGAUCGCCACUACCUUCAAAUUCUCCCGGGAGUAAUGCUGUGUACAGACAGGGUCUGUGCAGGUAAGUGGGUAAAUAAAUCCUGCAAAACCUGCCUGCUCA